rnacentral:rRNA from 1 species
AUUGAACGCUGGCGGCAGGCCUAACACAUGCAAGUCGAGCGAGCGGCGGACGGGGGCGGAAUGUAUGGGGACCGCCCGAUAGAGGGGGAUAACAACUGGAAACGGAAGCUAAUACCGCAUAACAUCGGAUAACCCAUAUAGGAUUAGCUAGUAGGUGAGGUAAUGGCUCACUUAGGCGACGGUCACUAGCUGGUCUGAGAGGAUGAUCAGCCACACUGGGACUGAGACACGGCCCAGACUCCGACGGCGGUAACAGUGGGGAAUAUUGCGCAAUGGGCGCAGUCCUGAUGCAGCCAUGCCUCGUGUAUGAAGAAGGCCCUAGGGUUGUGAAGUACUUUCAGUCGGGAGUCGUUACCGACAGAAGAGGCACCGGCUGACUCCGUGCCAGCAGCCGCGGUAAUUC